UAUGGUCACAUCAUGUUGAAACACUGCUUCCGGUACAAUCACCAAACUUAAGCAACAUCGAGCCUAGUCAAUACCUAGAUGGGUGACUGCUUGGGAAGACCAGGUGCUGUAAG